rnacentral:rRNA from 1 species
UACGUAGGCAGCAAGCGUUGUUCGGAGUUACUGGGCGUAAAGGGUGCGUAGGCGGCCGUGUAAGUGUGGUGUGAAAUCUCCCGGCUUAACUGGGAGGGUGCGCUACAGACUGCAUGGCUAGAGUGUGGGAGAGGAAAGUGGAAUUCCUGGUGUAGCGGUGAAAUGCGUAGAUAUCAGGAGGAACACCGGUGGUGUAAACGGCUUUCUGGACCAUAACUGACGCUGGAGGCACGAAAGCGUGGGGAGCAAACAGG